rnacentral:ncRNA from 1 species
UACCGGUUAGCCGAAAACGGUUAUAAGAGUAGGCA